rnacentral:rRNA from 1 species
CCUACGUGUGGCAGCAGUGAGGAAUAUUGGUCAAUGGACGAAAGUCUGAACCAGCCAAGCAGCGUGAAGGAUGACUGCCCUAUGGGUUGUAAACUUCUUUUAUAUGGGAGUAAAAUGUUCUACGUGUGUGAUUUUGUAUGUACCAUAUGAAUAAGGAUCGGCUAACUCCGUGCCAGCAGCCGCGGUAAUACUGAGGAUCCGAGCUUUAUCCGGAUUUAUUGGGUUUAAAGGGAGCGUAGGUGGAUUGUUAAGUCAGUUGUGACAGUUUGCGGCUCAACCGGAAAAUUGCAGUUGAAACUGGCAGUCUUGAGUACAGUAGAGGUGGGCGGAAUGCGUGGUGUAGCGGUGAAAUGCUUAGAUAUCACGAAGAACUCCGAUUGCGAAGGCAGCUCACUGGACUGCAACUGACACUGAGGCACGAAAGUGUGGGUAUCAAACAGGAUUAGAUACCCGUGUAGUC